GUCGAGAAUCUUUCACAAUGGGGGCAACCCUGAUGGAGCGACGCCGCGUGGAGGAUAAGGUCUUCGGAUUGUAAACUCCUGUCAUGCGUGAACAAGGUUGCUUGGUUAAUACCUGGGCAAAUUGCUGGUAACGCAAGAGGAAGAGACGGCUAACUCUGUGCCAGCAGCCGCGGUAAUACAGAGGUCUCAAGCGUUGUUCGGAAUCACUGGGCGUAAAGGGUGCGUAGGUGGCGUGGUAAGUCAGAUGUGAAAGCCCGGGGCUCAACCUCGGAACUGCAUCCGAUACUGCCAUGCUAGAGUACUGGAGAGGUGACUAGAAUUCUCGGUGUAGCAGUGAAAUGCGUAGAUAUCGAGAGGAAUACCAAAGGCGUAGGCAGGUCACUGGACAGUUACUGACACUGAGGCACGAAGGCCAGGGGAGCGAACGGGAUUAGAAACCCCAGUAGUCC
rnacentral:rRNA from 1 species